UGAGGACAAUGCAUCGGAGACGGCUAAUUUUUUACACUAGACAAUUAUAUUGGCAACACAGAAACCUACAGCACCAUAGUCGGCCAAGCGCGAUACAAACUCAAUCUCAAUAAACAUAACAUAACCCAUGACCGUAGAAUCUAACGAGAAUACCACCAGAGAUUGAUACCACCCACUACGUAACACUGGAUUUUGAAGCUCUUGGACUAAAUUUGCACGGAUUUACUGCUCUUCAUCGUCGUCUGGCAGGGUGUUCGGGAUAAGAUUUUGGUCUACCCGUUUCGACAUAGAAUUUGGAUGACUUUCUAUAAAUAUUAAUUUUUAUUUCAGCCCUUGUGGUAUCAUGUAAGUUGAACACAUUUUCGCGUAUCUUUAUUCCUGUCUGCCACCAUUUUGUCAGUACCGAAACGGUUUGCUAUUUUUACUAUUCAACCUACAAUUAGAAAAUCAUCCCCUGCUGUCACACCAAAAACUAGCACUUAUAAAAUGCUGUUUUUCAAUUGAUUUUGUUUAAUUCGCUGUGCCCAUCCCGUCGCGCACUCCAGUACUGGAGGCCAGGCAGAUUUUCGAAUGAAUUAUCAGCGAUAUUAAGAGGUAUGGCAAGACGGAAAUAUUAUUUAUGAAGUGACGUAAGUAAAACGGUCCCCAGCUCUUAGUCUAAUAUAGCGUCAAACGUUGGUAAGUCCCUGAAAUAUUAACAAUAUGACAAUUCGUUUACGUGUUCGCGUCUGUCCGAGAAAAUGAACUGAAAGUGUUGGGAUUGAAGCACUCAGUCAUAUUCAUACAUUAAUUAAUGUUUAUCACGUGAGGUCUUUGGCCAUUUAUCUGUACAGUUAGCACACGUGUCUUACUUUUUAAUAAAUCAUGUCUUCAGUCAAUGCACACUGUGAGGAGCCCAAAUGAACAUAAUAAAAUGUGGUAGUGCAAAUUACCAUAAAAAAAUUUUGUUUUACCAAUUAUUCU